rnacentral:rRNA from 1 species
CCUACGGGAGGCAGCAGUGGGGAAUAUUGCACAAUGGGGGAAACCCUGAUGCAGCAACGCCGCGUGAGUGAAGAAGGAUCUCGGUAUGGAAAGCUCUAUCAGCAGGGGAGCAAAUGACGGUACCGGACGAAGAAGCCCCGGCUAACUACGUGCCAGCAGCCGCGGUAAUACGUAGGGGGCAAGCGUUAUCCGGAUUUACUGGGGGUAAAGGGAGCGUAGACGGUGUGGCAAGUCUGAAGUGAAAGCCCGGGGCUCAACCCCGGGACUGCUUUGGAAACUGUCAUGCUAGAGUGCUGGAGAGGUAAGCGGAAUUCCUAGUGUAGCGGUGAAAUGCGUAGAUAUUAGGAGGAACACCAGUGGCGAAGGCGGCUUACUGGACAGUAACUGACGUUGAGGCUCGAAAGCGUGGGGAGCAAACAGGAUUAGAUACCCCGGUAGUC